UAAGGGGAGGAGGGAGGGCAGAAGAGAGUCAGAGGAGGCCACCGGUUAGGGGGCUAGGGUGGGACGCGCGGAAGCGUCUUGGAAGGGCGAGGGGCGGAGAUGUUUUGGUGGUUUUGGGGGUGAACGGGAGAGGGUGGAGCGGGCGGCGGUACCCGAGGAGGAGGAUGGAGGGGGUGCUGUACCUAAAGAGGGGGAUGGAGGGGCGGCUGUACCCGAGGGGGUGGCGGCUGCUGGGGAGGGAGUUGGAGAUGGAGAGGCUGGAGUAGGGGCCGAGCGGGAGGCUUAUGGAGCUGGAGGGGGACUGGGGCGUGGUGCUCGUCCUCGUGGUCUUUGGGAGGGGGCUGCCGGUGCCGCCGCCCCCGCCGCCGCCGCCGCCGCCGCUGAGGGGGAGGAGGUGCGGCCUCCUGGAGCACGACGGGAAGUAGAGGGCGUAUGAGUACCUCCUCCUGUAGCUGCUGUUCAAGAAGAUGCUGAAGGGGCUGUUGGGGCGCGAGUAGCUCCGCGUCGUCGGGAAGGAGCUCUAGGAGAGGCUAGGGAGGAGGUUGAGGUGGAGGCUGCUGUCGUUGUUGGCGCGGCAGAGGGGCACGAGGGGGAGGCUGCGGAGGCAGCCGUGGCGGCGGGUCGACGGGGGGUGCGGGCGGCGGCAACUGAGGAUGCUGGCGAAGGUCAAGCUCGGGCAGCUGGAGCUAGGGCGGCGGAAGAAGCCGCCGCCGCGGUUGAGGCUGGAGUACUCGAGGCGGAAGGAGUUCCCCUACGUCCUCCGGUUGUUCAAGGACGGGUCAGUCCUGUUCGAGCAGUAGCUGGACCUCCGGAGGAGACCGGUCAAGAAGUUCCCGCAGCUCCUCCCGUUGUUCAAGGACGGGUCCCUCCUGUUUGAGCAACAACCUAAGUUACCGGUGCGUCGAGGACGCAGCCGGGGUCGACACGAGUCGGACUUUUUCCUCCUCCACCACCUACGCCAGAGCCGGUUGAGACCACCGCCGGCUCCAGCCUUCUUGGGGAUGGUACUACUGCUCGACCUCGUCCUCCCACCGUCCUCGUCGUUCGUCUCACGCGACCCUCUGCUGCAGAGACGUGCCCUCUACAAGCUGUCCUACGACUACGGGAGUCUGCUCUACACGUAGCACGUCUACGUCUUGGACGCCUAGCGGUACGUCCUCCGCCACCGGUUCUUACUACCGCCGCCACCCUUCCCCCGGUUACCGUUCCCCUCCCCGGCCGCACCACCAAGGCUACACCACCUGGACGCGUGCGACGAGUAGGUAACGCGCGUCCGACAACGGUGCCUACUGGCGGCCUCGCGAUGUCUCGACGACUUCGUCUAGUUCGACGUACGAGCGGGACUACCGCUACCCUGAGUCGCGGAGCGAGUAACGAAACGUCUCCCGGACGUCCGCGCCGACCGCCCGUGUCCACCGGAGCAUGUGGUCAGCGAGUACCGUUGUGCGUAGAGUCGACACCUGUACGAGUUUCGAAUGGUCGACAUGUACCGUCGGUAGACAAAGUUCUUCCACAGAAAGGAUAAGAGUUUAUCAUGUUAGAUAUUACGGAGGAACCCCUUCUUCUUCUAUGUAUAGUAGCUAAUACCAUAUGUUAUACCCAAGGUCACCGGCACGAAAGACGCUGCCUAUAGUUGUUCCGGACCUCCCGGCGGUCUACAUUCCUAGUGACCAUAGCUAGAGGGAGUCGGACCCAAGGCCGGUUCUCUCGCCUAACUUCUCUGUCCCGCGUCCGAGUUCUUCAUACGGUUACUCAAAUUACACGGCAAGCUCAUGGCCCGGUAGCGCUGCCGUUUCUACCUCAGCGAGGCGUUUCUCCUAAACUUCUAACUAGGACUACUCCAUGAGUAACAAUUGAGGAACAAAGUUAAGUUCUUGAACUACCUGCUCUCGCAACACGAACUCUCGGGUUCCCUACAACACGAGUUCUUGUAGUCCUUCUACGCCGGGGUGUGUAAGUAGGUACGUUAGCACUUACCGAGUAAGUCACGGGGUAAGAAGCACUGUGCCAAAGCCCUCCAAGACAAGAUGAUGAGUCGGGAAAAACUACAAGACCUGUGUUGGUGGGGUUCCCUAUUGCUUGUCUCCUACGACUAACUCGUCUUGUAGGAACCCGCACGACGGGACUUACAGUAACGGACACUCCCAUGUCUAUCCCACCUCGCAGGACUCUGCAUAUUCGUUACCGUCCAUUCCUUAGUUGCCCGUCCAAACUUCGACGACGGUAACUUAGGUCUCCAGUAACUCGAUCGCUCUCUGUUCCAGUUCUUGACGAUGGUGUUCCUGAAACACUAACUAUAUCUAGUCGUGACCGAGAACGUUCCUACCUUUCCCGCGUAGGAGAUACGGUAGAGCUGUACCUGCCGUUUGCUACGAUCGAGUAUUUAAAAUCGACCGCAAAAGUGAACCGUUACGAAUAUCGAGAUCAAUACAGUUAUAUUACAGACACACAACACAUACCCGGUACCAGAUCAAUUCAUCGGAACCUAGUCACCUACGUCAAAGAACUCCAGUACUCUCUCUACCCAUCGGGUUCUAUAUACGUACUAAAAUACACAACACUUAAUCUACAAACGUCAGUACAACGACGGAUUACGGAUCGAUACAUCUCAAAUCUGAAACCACAGGACUAGACCUACCUACUACAAACGACUUAACACUAUACACGGACACUAGUUAGGUCAGUCAACUAGUCCAACAUUAACUGUGAUCAGUGACACAAGACCCACGUAUCACGUGACACCGUCCGUCAUUGUAAACAUACUUUUUGAACUACUUGGAACGAAACCGAUCAGAUAAUACAAAACAUGGUACUCUUAGUAGGAAAGUACUAAUCAAGUACGUCCUUUGGUUUAUAAAACGGGUGUAAGACUUCGACACUGUAUCAAGUCGUAUUCUAAGAAGCAUUAACACGUCAUUCGUUUCGACCCAGCCAACAGGUCUCAAAUAAGUCUAACAAAUCGCGAACCGUACCAACCCUGGACAGUACCUAAGUCGUUUUGGUCCGGUGGAGAGACCAAAAUACCUUAGGACCCUCCGUCCACUGGGUUCCUGGAAAUCAAAACAAACGGGGGAUCUGUUUUACCCGUGACUUACUAUGUCGAGUACGGAUACGUAACGAUAGAGUUAUUAACACUUU
rnacentral:rRNA from 1 species